CAUCGGGGCUCACUGGUGCGGCUCAUGUGUGGAAACUUACCCAGUAUAGCGAGUCGAAUAAAUAAACCAGUAAGCAGUGUUGUCUGUAUUUGUGUGAAUUUGUGAGCGGAGGCGGACUGUGAACGGUGAAAAGGGCGACCAAGAACUGUGGACUUGUUUCGUCGAACUUUAGAAGCGCACUAUAGGAGCAACGCUGUUCAAGAGGCAAACCAGCAUCAAAACCUGACAACGGUGCGUACACGCACACGAGAGGACAAAAGGGC